UAAAGUAACAAAGCAGACGGCUCUCCUUCUUGAAACCGCAGAGUUUAACAAAUAACAAGUGCCUCUCUCUCUCUCUCUCUCUCUCUCUCUGUAUCCAGUGAAGUCGCAGAAGAGAAACCAAACAAAGCAGUUUGUCAGCACAUGAAAGCAUGGUUUUAUGAACCUGAUAAGCCAACUGAUGGAACUUCGCCUGAAGAAAAAGCCAAAUGUGAGAGAUGGGAGAGAAGUAAUCGUUGACGCCUCAUGAUUAUGAGAUCCAAGAUCUGCAGAAACAUUUACCUUUUAGAUAAAUCUCGCACAGCUAAACAAAUGCUUGCUGCAUUUGAAGAGUUUAUACUACUCAACUGACCCUUCUCAAAGAGCCCACAAGUUUUUCACAGGCUAUUCAACACCCACAGUGGCGUGCUGUCAUGCAGCAUGAACUUAAUGCUUUACAGGCCAAUAACACUUGGAGCUUAGUCACAUUACCACCUUAUAAACAGCCCAUUGGAUGCAAGUGGGUAUAUAAGAUCAAGCUGAAGGCUGAUGGGACCGUAGAAAGAUACAAAGCCAGGUUGGUGUCCAAGGGAUACGAUCAGAUAGAGAGCAUUGAGUUACAAAAAUGGUCACAAUUAAUUUGUGUCUUGAUUAGUGUUGCUUCCUUGCUAGGUUCGUAUUUGCAUCAAUUAGAUAUUAACAAUGUCUUCUUGCAUGGUGAUCUCACUGAAGAGGUAUACAUGUCUUUAUCUCCUAGUUUAGGACGAAAAGGGGAGAAUCAUGUUUGCAAACUUCACAAAUCACUAUAUGGCUUAAAACAUGCAUCUAGACAA